GUGCUCGAGCGUGCGCUGGCGGCGGCCCGGGCUCCCGGGCGUCUCUCACGCUGUGUUUUGGCGGCGCCUGGGGUCUUCGUUUGCAUAUGAGAAGAGCCGAAAGCACAGAGCUACAGGCGAAUACAAGUGGAUUUUUUUUCUUUUUCUGUUUUUUUAUUAGAAGUAAUAGUUGCUGCAUUUUGAAAAAUCAAGAGGAAAAGAGUUAACAGGAAGAAAAGUUCGAGGCUGGAAUGCAGUGGUGCAAACAUGGCUCACUACAGCCUCAACCUCCUGGCCUCAAGCGAUCCUCCUGCCUCCACUUCCUGAGUAACUUUGGUCACAGAGACACGGUUUCCCUAUGUUGCCCAGGCUGGUCUUGAACUCCUGGUCUCAAGUGAUCCUCCUGCCUUGGCAAAAUGCUGGGAUUACAGAGCUGCCGGCUUCCCCUUGAAGGAAUAGGAGUAGACCUGCUGAACUAUCACAUGAGAGAAGAGGCCCAAAAGCUUGCACACUACAGUCAAGCUGGCCCUUAAAGAGAUGGACCUAGAAGAUGCUGAGCCAGAUGUACUCAAUUACUUCUCCAAAAUUCAUCAAUUAGGGUCACACAGCUGCUAAUUGUUCUGUGUGGGGAACAUGUGAGGGGAGAAGAAAAGACACACAUACAAUACCUGUAAGGGUAAACAACCUUUAUCCCAUGUAAAUGGCAAUGCGGAUAUAAUAAGCAAAUGAUAUAAUAAGCAAAUUGAUAUAAUAAGCAGAUUGAUAUAAUAAGCAAAUUGCAAUGGGAAGGGGAGAAGGAAAAGAUACAUACAUACAUAUAUAUACAUGUAUAUAUAUGUAUACACAUAUACACUCACCAGACUAUGGAGGAUUCACCACCAGACUGGGAAGCAACAGCCUGGGCUCCAGAGUCGGACACCACACUCACCAGAUUAUGGAGGAUUCACCACCAGACUGAGAAGCAACAGUCUGGGCUCCAGAGUCAGAAGUAACAACAGGCUGACCUCCAGAGUCGGACACUAACUCACCAUAGUAUGGAGGGGAUUCACCACCAGACUGGGAAGCAACAGCCUGGGCUCCAGAGUUGGCUACCCAUCCAUGCACAGAUGAGGAGAGGUCUCAUGAAGCUUUGGUAUUGUCCGGGACCCUAGCUUUUUUUGUAAAAGUUGUUUGGCAUGAGGCCCAGUCACAGUGGCCCUUCGCUGUGUCAUAAACACUUUUCAUGUAAUUAUUUGUGGUUUUAUGAUCAUAUUUAUAAUUACAGCAAAUUUUCCACUUUAUAACACAACAACUUGUACAUUUCACUAAUAGGCAUACAUAUUGUGUCUGUUUUUUUCACUAGUAUAACUAAUGCUACAGCAAACAUCUGUGUGCAUAAAUCUUUGUUUAAAUAUGAUUAUUUUCUUAUUAUUAGAAAUAAAAUGGUGAUGAGAAGAUAAAAGUAUUUCUAAGGCUCUUGAAGCAAGUGGUCACACUGUUUCCUCCCACAAAUUUUGCCAUUUUAUUCUGAACAGAAUACCUUUUUCAUUUUUUACUCUGUAUUAUACUUUUUAAAUCUUUGCUAACUUUACAGUUGAAUGAUACCUCAAUAAUACUUGCAUUUUAUAAAGAAAUUAACAUUUUUUUCUUCUUAUAGUUUCUAAUCCAUAGGUAGUUUAAACUAUUCAUUGAUAUUCUUUUUUUUUGCAUUUCUAUGCUUCAUUAUUUAUAGAAAAUUUUUACCGUUUUAUAUUUCUUUGGUUUUGUGUUACUCUUGAUUUUCCAUAUUAUGUUUUUCCAUAUGAAUAUCUUUUAUUGUUAUGUAGUUAACCAAGUUGUGUCUUCCUUUAUUUUUCUUUUACUGUUUUAAGCUUGGAAUUAUUUCCCAUGGAGAGAUAAAUAUUAGUCUACCUAUUUUUUAUACAAGUAUUUUGAUUUUUUGAAUUAGCAGUUUAAUUCAUUGAAAAUUUAAUUUUGUCUAAUAUAUGAGGUGAAUAUCUAAAGUUUUUCCACCUAGCUUAUAUUUGGUUGCAAAAUCAUUGUUUACGUUUCCCCAUUGGUUUGUAUUGUUGCAUUUCCCACGUGAACACUUCUGAACCAUUGUUUUGUUUCAUUUACUUAUUUGUCUUUUCCUCUCUCAGAACCACACUAACUUGUUAUUAUGACUUUAUACCAUUUUGUAAUACUCGGUAACAUUAUUAAUUCCUCAUCAAUCUGACUUUUCAAUAGUUUUAAAAUUUAAUCUUAAACAUCACAAUCUUAAAAAAAAACCCAUAAAUUCCAUUGGCAUUUUGACCAAGAGUAUAUUAAUUGCACAGAUUGCUUUGGGUGAAAUUAACCACUUUGUAGGCUCAGUCCUCCUAUUUGGAAAAUGUUAAUUAUCUCCAUCUAUUUAUGUUAUCUUCUGUACUUCCCUUUCUUCCUAUAUUUUACACAUGUCCUGAUAAUGUUACUCCAAAGUAUUUUAUGAUUUUUUUCCCUACUGUACCACACUGCAUGUUUACUCAUACAAACAUUAUAAUAAAAUUUCUUACUUUUAAAAUAACUUCUAUUUUAAAAAUA
rnacentral:lncRNA from 1 species